rnacentral:rRNA from 1 species
UACGUAGGGUGCGAGCGUUUAAUCGGAAUUACUGGGCGUAAAGCGUGCGCAGGCGGUUCGUUAUGUCCGAUGUGAAAGCCCCGAGCUCAACUUGGGAAUGGCAUUGGAAACUGGCGGGCUGGAGUGUGGCAGAGGGGGGUGGAAUUCCGACGUGUAGCAGUGAAAUGCGUAGAGAUGUGGAGGAACACCGAUGGCGAAGGCAGCCCCCUGGGCCAACACUGACGCUCAGGCACGAAAGCGUGGGGAGCAAACAGG